rnacentral:rRNA from 1 species
UCAGCCCUACGGGAGGCAGCAGUAGGGAAUCUUCCACAAUGGGCGAAAGCCUGAUGGAGCAACGCCGCGUGGGUGAAGAAGGUCUUCGGAUCGUAAAACCCUGCUGUUAGAGAAGAAAGUGCGUGAGAGUAACUGUUCACGUUUCGACGGUAUCUAACCAGAAAGCCACGGCUAACUACGUGCCAGCAGCCGCGGUAAUACGUAGGUGGCAAGCGUUAUCCGGAUUUAUUAGGCGUAAAGGGAACGCAGGCGGUCUUUUAAGUCUGAUGUGCAAGCCUUCGGCUUAACCGG